rnacentral:rRNA from 1 species
CCUACGGGUGGCAGCAGUGAGGAAUAUUGGUCAAUGGACGAGAGUCUGAACCAGCCAAGUAGCGUGAAGGAUGACUGCCCUAUGGGUUGUAAACUUCUUUUAUAUGGGAAUAAAAUGUUCCACGUGUGGGAUUUUGUAUGUACCAUAUGAAUAAGGAUCGGCUAACUCCGUGCCAGCAGCCGCGGUAAUACGGAGGAUCCGAGCGUUAUCCGGAUUUAUUGGGUUUAAAGGGAGCGUAGGUGGAUUGUUAAGUCAGUUGUGAAAGUUUGCGGCUCAACCGUAAAAUUGCAGUUGAAACUGGCAGUCUUGAGUACAGUAGAGGUGGGCGGAAUUCGUGGUGUAGCGGUGAAAUGCUUAGAUAUCACGAAGAACUCCGAUUGCGAAGGCAGUUCACUGGACUGCCACUGACAUUGAUGCUCGAAAGUGUGGGUAUCAAACAGGAUUAGAUACCCUAGUAGUC